AUACGUAGGGGGCAAGCGUUAUCCGGAUUUACUGGGUGUAAAGGGAGCGUAGACGGUUCUGCAAGUCUGGAGUGAAAGCCCGGGGCUCAACCCCGGGACUGCUUUGGAAACUGUGGAACUGGAGUGCAGGAGAGGUAAGUGGAAUUCCUAGUGUAGCGGUGAAAUGCGUAGAUAUUAGGAGGAACACCAGUGGCGAAGGCGGCCAGCUGGGCUUUUACUGACGCUGAGGCUCGAAAGCGUGGGGAGC
rnacentral:rRNA from 1 species